rnacentral:sRNA from 1 species
UACCGGCGAAUGAUCACGCCGCAGUCUGGCAGUCGGCUCAUCCCCCGCCGCUCCAGACCGGACGAAGGCCUCAUCCCCCUCAGGGCCUUUGUCCAGACAUCGAACCGCUGCGGCCGAUCCCCCUCCCGGCCGUGGCGGUUUUGC